AGGAGAUAAUGGAAGUCAAAUGCUUGCACACAUUUUACAGCCCUUCCUCUUUAUCCUCCUCUCUUAUCAGUAGCAAAGAAGAAAAAGAGUUUGUAUAGAAGGGACUUUCCUGGAGAUGGCUGGAAUAACUCGAGGGAGAGUAGCAAUGGUUCAGAAAGGUUCACUUUUUUUUUUUUUUUUAAUGAUUCUAUCAACAUUGUGUAGGAGAAGGUGCAAACUGUAACAAAAUUACUUUGGCUUGAAGGCAAAUGGGAAGAGAAAGGGGAAUCUGGGAAAGGACCUAAUUUUUCCAGGUUUUUUCCUCCUUUAAAGUCUUCCUCCUUUCUCUUCCCCUCCCCUCCCAUUGUUGCCAAGAAUCAGAGCAAUUGCUGUAUAUGUGCACCAGUGGGGGUUGGAGUGGAUAUAAGAUCUUGGCGUAUACAGAAGGGCUGCAUGGAAAAUGGCUGUUCACAGAGAUACGAUCAAUCUUUUCUCGUCGUUAUCUUUUGCAAAAUACAGCCCUGGAGAUCUUUAUGGCAAACAGAGUUGCUGUAAUGUUCAACUUCCCAGACCCAGCAACAGUAAAGAAAGUGGUUAACUAUCUACCUCGUGUUGGCGUUGGAACAAGUUUUGGAUUGCCUCAAACCAGGCGUAUUUCAUUAGCUAGUCCACGUCAGCUUUUUAAGGCUUCUAAUAUGACCCAGCGAUGGCAACACAGAGAGAUUUCUAAUUUUGAGUACUUGAUGUUUCUCAACACGAUAGCAGGACGGAGUUAUAAUGACUUAAAUCAGUAUCCAGUGUUUCCUUGGGUCAUCACUAAUUAUGAAUCAGAAGAACUGGAUCUUACCUUGCCCACCAACUUCAGAGAUUUGUCCAAGCCAAUAGGAGCUCUGAACCCAAAAAGAGCAGCCUUCUUCGCUGAGCGUUAUGAAUCAUGGGAAGACGAUCAAGUUCCAAAGUUUCACUAUGGUACUCAUUACUCAACUGCAAGUUUUGUUCUUGCAUGGCUGCUAAGAAUAGAACCCUUUACAACUUAUUUCCUAAAUUUGCAAGGAGGCAAAUUUGAUCAUGCCGAUCGAACUUUUUCAUCAAUUUCCAGAGCUUGGCGAAACAGUCAGCGUGAUACAUCUGAUAUUAAGGAGUUGAUCCCUGAAUUUUAUUAUCUCCCUGAGAUGUUUGUCAACUUCAAUAAUUAUAAUCUUGGAGUGAUGGAUGAUGGGACAGUAGUGUCUGAUGUCGAACUUCCUCCUUGGGCCAAAACCUCAGAAGAAUUUGUUCACAUAAACAGAUUGGCCCUGGAGAGUGAAUUUGUUUCCUGCCAGCUUCACCAAUGGAUUGAUCUCAUUUUUGGCUAUAAACAGCAAGGACCAGAAGCUGUCCGAGCCCUCAAUGUGUUCUAUUACUUGACCUAUGAAGGAGCUGUCAAUCUGAAUUCAAUAACUGAUCCUGUGUUGAGAGAGGCUGUUGAAGCUCAAAUCCGAAGUUUUGGACAGACUCCUUCUCAACUACUCAUAGAGCCCCAUCCUCCCAGAGGUUCUGCCAUGCAAGUGUAUCUCCUCCUGCAGAGUCCAUUGAUGUUCACAGACAAAGCCCAGCAGGAUGUUAUCAUGGUCCUCAAGUUUCCCUCCAACUCCCCUGUUACUCACGUGGCAGCCAACACCCAGCCUGGUUUGGCAACUCCUGCUGUGAUCACAGUUACUGCUAACAGGUUAUUUGCAGUGAACAAAUGGCACAACCUUCCUGCUCAUCAAGGUGCUGUACAAGACCAGCCAUACCAGCUGCCAGUGGAAAUCGAUCCUCUCAUAGCCAGCAAUACAGGAAUGCACAGGAGGCAAAUCACUGACCUUUUAGACCAAAGUAUUCAAGUGCAUUCCCAGUGCUUUGUCAUCACUUCAGACAACCGCUAUAUUCUCGUCUGUGGCUUCUGGGAUAAGAGUUUCAGAGUCUAUUCUACAGACACAGGAAGAUUGAUCCAAGUGGUGUUUGGCCAUUGGGAUGUCGUCACUUGCCUUGCUCGUUCUGAGUCAUAUAUUGGGGGAAAUUGCUACAUUCUCUCAGGGUCACGUGAUGCAACUCUUUUGCUGUGGUAUUGGAAUGGAAAAUGCAGUGGGAUUGGAGAUAACCCAGGCAGUGAGACUGCUGCUCCUCGGGCCAUUUUGACAGGCCAUGACUAUGAGGUCACAUGUGCUGCGGUGUGUGCCGAGCUAGGCCUGGUGUUGAGUGGUUCACAAGAAGGACCAUGUCUCAUACAUUCCAUGAAUGGAGACUUGUUGAGGACCUUGGAGGGUCCUGAAAACUGCCUGAAACCAAAACUCAUUCAGGCUUCAAGAGAGGGUCAUUGUGUCAUAUUCUAUGAAAAUGGCCUCUUCUGUACAUUCAGUGUGAAUGGAAAACUCCAGGCCACGAUGGAAACAGAUGAUAACAUAAGAGCCAUCCAGCUGAGCCGAGAUGGGCAGUACCUGCUCACAGGAGGAGACAGAGGAGUGGUCGUGGUCCGGCAGGUGUCGGACCUCAAGCAGCUCUUUGCCUAUCCAGGAUGCGACGCUGGAAUCCGGGCCAUGGCGCUGUCUUACGACCAGAGGUGCAUCAUUUCUGGCAUGGCUUCAGGAAGCAUUGUGCUAUUUUACAACGACUUUAACCGGUGGCAUCAUGAAUACCAAACCCGCUACUGAUGGUGACAGCUGUACAUCAACUCUGCCCCUAGGAUGAGCAGAAGUACCUGAAGCAUCAUUCUCUUCUACCACAUCUGAAUGUAACUUAAAUUUGCUCAAAGAAGCAAAAUAUUUUUUAAAGUUAUUAAUAAUUGCUAUUUUUGUAGUCUUUGCUUGACUUUUUUGGGGGGGAUUAGCAAAGCAGAAAACUGGCUGCUGGGUUCUGUAGUUUUAAAAAAUCUAUAUUUUUAGUCAUAAUGAGAAGUCUAUUUUCACCAAUUAUGGAAACAUACAGUGGAGCAAGUAAACCACUUAUUCCAGCUAUAAUAUUAUGAAGAACAUUUCCCAUGCAUCUACAAGCUUGAGAAAUAGGAUUUUCACAGUGGGGAAGUGGGUUAUAAUAUUGGAAUAGGAAAAUUUGAUGCUGUAAUUUGGGUCCUGUAUUUUUCCAAACAACUGUGCUUCUUCAGCACUAAUAUUUCUGGGAUUUAAAUAGUAAUGUUUAAAUUAUGGUAAAUGUAAUUUAAAACAUCUCAAUUAAUUCUAUCAAUAUUAUUCUUCAAGCAUGUUUUAGACCUAGAAAAGUAUGGUUUGGGGGAGGCUAUUUUAUUGUGUGGUUAGCACAGGAAUCUAAUUUAUAGCAAGUGUGAAAUAGUUUCCAUUUUUUCCUGAUCUGUCAUCUUCAUAGCACAACAAAAUGAAAUGAUGGCAAUGCUCUUGAGCUCACAACAUUUGUUUUUCUUUUAAAAAGUAAAUGCAAGUACCAAAGCUCACUACUGCGGUUUGCCUGUGCCGGGACAAUGAGGCGGAGCCACUGUUGGGGCACCCCCUUCCCUCCCCGGGUUUGCAAAUAGAGGCUACCAGGUGCUGUAUUCAGCAACACCUGUUUUACUAUUUGUUAUUAAACUAUCUAUCUAUCUCCACCUUCCUUUUGAUUAGCAAUUUGUACUAAGAAACAAUGUUAUUUGGUGUUGUAUAAUUCUACUUUUCUAGUAGAUUACUGUGUAGAAUUCUGUGAAAAAUAUUUGAGAAAAGGCCUGUAUUGCAUAAAUAAAUUCUUUGUAUGUUGUGAA
rnacentral:sRNA from 1 species